CUCGAAACUCCUGUGAGAUCGAGCUAGAAAGCUUUACCAGCGCGGCUAUGAAGAAUGCAAUAAAUCGUAUCUUUCGUUGAGGCCGUUAAGGCUGCAAAAAAUCCUGGUACAGGGACCAGUAUGCUCAAAGGAUGGUGUGUGGGAAAAUAACUGUAGAUGACUCCGUUGUGCUCUUUAACCUGGGCCCUGCAGAGGUUUGCUAACAGGGCUGUAGCAGCAGGGUAAAAUACCCUCGUAUGCCUGCACACAUGCAGGCCCAUCACCCAAGGAGCCAAGGUUCGGAUUCUCAAGGUGGCAGCAAGACUGGAACUGCCUUUGAAGUGUAAGAACUACAGGAGAAGUCAGGACUCGUUCUUGGUAUUUACUGUGCAUUCCUGGAGGCAAUUUCAAGCCAAACGACACAAGGCUCAGAUCAGCCAGGGACCUCCACGCAGGAAGGGCUGCAGCUUACGCUGGGCUCCCCCCUGUUCACAUUAGCAAAACUUAUUUUGUGCCUCAGGAAUAUGAUACUAAGUCAAACAUCCUACAGUAAGAAACCAUUGACA
rnacentral:lncRNA from 1 species